GCCAGUGUGGCAUAGUAGUUUGAGCAUUAGACUAUGACUCUGGAAACCAGAGUUCGAAUCCCCACUUGGCCA